GGACAUAUAGCCUCAGCUAAAUCCUUUCUCAGUACCAAUAGUAGCAGAAUCCAGAAAUUAACACCAUUCACUUGAGUUCAAAGCACACCUAACUUUAAAAUAACACAAAUUCAUAAAAAAUCUAACUCAAGCUCGUAAACCUCAAAUCUAGCUAAUUCAUACCUAAAUAACACACAAUUAUAUAGCUAUGACUAAAAUCAAUCAGUC
rnacentral:lncRNA from 1 species